GACGAACGCUGGCGGCGUGCUUAACACAUGCAAGUCGAACGGACAGGCCCUGCUUUUGUGGGUUGCUCGAGUGGCGAACGGGUGAGUAACACGUGAGUAACCUGCCCUUGACUUUGGGAUAACUUCAGGAAACUGGGGCUAAUACCGGAUAGGAGCUCCUGCUGCAUGGUGGGGGUUGGAAAGUUUCGGCGGUUGGGGAUGGACUCGCGGCUUAUCAGCUUGUUGGUGGGGUAGUGGCUUACCAAGGCUUUGACGGGUAGCCGGCCUGAGAGGGUGACCGGCCACAUUGGGACUGAGAUACGGCCCAGAAGCCUACGGGAGGCAGCAGUGGGGAAUAUUGCACAAUGGGCGGAAGCCUGAUGCAGCAACGCCGCGUGCGGGAUGACGGCCUUCGGGUUGUAAACCGCUUUCGCCUGUGACGAAGAGUGAGUGACGGUAAUGGGUAAAGAAGCACCGGCUAACUACGUG
rnacentral:rRNA from 1 species